rnacentral:lncRNA from 10 species
CCCGAGUACCAGAAGAGGCCAAUGAGCAGGGCCCCCCCUCCUGAGGACCAUAAACAGUGACCCAGGCACAGAGGGAGUGUAGUGAAUUCCUGUACUUUAAUGUUGCCCUGGCAUCCGUUUUGAAUAUAAUCUGGACUUUCUUACAUUAGAAGCAGGGCUCAGUCAACCUUGACACUGUUUCCAGCUCCCUGCUUCCUCCCAGUUCCUCUAUGUGCUCAAUCCAGAUAUCUACCUUAGACAGUCAUCUCCCGGUGACUGCCUCCCUGUGGGACAGCUACAUACAGCCCACUUGACUGGUCCCGCUGACCCCACAGCCCGCAUGGACUGUUGCAGAUAGGCCAGUGACCCUCUCUCAGCCAUAGCGUGACCCUGCUUGCUCUAAACUCACCAAUUAUUUUAUUUUAUUUUAUUUUAUUUUAUUUUAUUUUAUUUAUUUAUUUUUGAGAUGGAGUCUCGCUCUGUCACCCAGGCUGGAGUGCAGUGGCGCAAUCCUGGCUCACUGCAAGCUCCGCCUCCCGGGUUCAAGCCAUUCUCCUGCCUCAGCCUCCUGAGUAGCUGGGACUACAGGUGCGCACCACCACGCCCAGCUAAUUUUUGUAUUUUUAGUAGAGACGGGGUUUCACAAUGUUUUCCAGGAUGGUCUCAAUCUCUUGACCUCGUGAUCCACCCGCCUCGGCCUCCCAAAGUACAGGCGUGAGCCACCGGCACCUGGCCUAAACCCAAUUAUUACUCCCCUCAGGAAACCUGCCUGGGUGACGCCCUGGACCCCAUAAAGGCCUUGGUCCCACAGGUCCCCUCUCUCUCUCACUCUCUACCUGCUACUUGAACACCCUGCUGUCUCCGGGAUUCCUGUUGGCCCUCAUCGGCGCUGGCUUCUCUCAUGGAUCUAGAGCGGCUAUCUCGGCUUAUGGUACCUCUCCAAGGGACACCCCAAGACCCAAUUAGACAAAGAUCUCAACAGGGAGGCUCCUGGCUCAAGGCACCUUGCUUGCCUCACUCUAGUCCCAGCCUGACCUCAGGAGAAGGAUUGAGGAACCUAGUCCUCCCGCAGGCAGGAGGGGUAGAGCACCUUGGAACCAAACUCAGGAGUUUCUGGCUGGCUCCAAACAGAAGAGCCACAGCCACUCUCAGUGGCCCAUCCCACCCUUCUUCCAGGCCAACCCGGGUCCCCUCUUCCAAAGCCCACAGGAGCUCUCUUCUGAAAGGAUCUCCAGCCUUGGGUUUACCUCAUCAGAGGCUUGGCCUGUGGGACACUGCGGGAGAGGAUUGGGAGAAGAAAGAGGGGUGAGCCCUGUUGUCCUCUUCCAUGCCCUGACCCAGCAGCAUGGCUGGGGGAGGCGCUCUGGCCCUAAGCUUCACUUCCACCACGAAGCCUUCUCUGACUUACUCUCUGCAUCCUCGUCCCCAACCCACCUCAGUACUUAGUACAUGCCCCAGAAGAUAGACCUGACCCUCUGCGGCCUUGGAUCACCAGAGUUGUUUUCCUGGGCACACUUAGGCAUCCUGCCUCUCCCAUCAGACUACGUUACCCAGUCAGACGUGAUGCCCUGGAAUGUGCCCCCCAUCCAUCAGUGUCCCUCUCAGACUGCCACUUGGAGAGCAGGCUGUGUCUUCCCCUCAGUGUACCCCCCUUAGACUGAGCCCCUCCCCCUUGCCUGUGGGCCCCAUGGAAGGCUUUGUGGAGAAACCCCCUCCACCCAGUCUCUUUAACCACAGCCUCCCUCCCUACUUCUCAGGAAACCACAGGAGAAAGAACAGGAUGGGAUUUUAGAGAAGUGGCCAGGAGGCCCUGAAACUGCUAGUGAAGUGGCUGUGGCCAGGGGGCCCAGGGACCUGCCCAGCCUUGGGAUGGGGGUGUGUGGGGGGAGGGGGCAGUACCACAGACCCCCGUAUGGGCCACUGGGACAUGUAAGAGUUCAAGUCCUCCUUCUCCAGGAUAUAUUUCAGAGACAAUGAGGCUGAAUUCAGUACUUGCAGUACCGAAAAAAAAAAAUCUAACUUUACUUACAAAAACCCCAGAUCCAAAGCAACCCUAGAGCUGAUAUUAUAUAGGGUAUGGAAAGCAUGGCAUUCAGCAAUUCGCUGAUUUUCAAAAGUUGGACUGUGUGCAGAUUGGCUGACUUUCAGUCUUGGCAGUUAGGGAUUGGCUGACUUUCAGAAGCAAAUCACUGGAGUAAGACCCUUGCUGAUUGGCUGGCUCUCAGAAGCAUGGUCCCUGGAAUGAAGCUGUUGCUGAUUGGUUGGCUCUCAGGGGACUGAAGUAACGUGAUCAAUGACUGAUUGGACCAGGUUGAAAAUAAGUCUGUGUGACUUGUUCCUGGCUUCAGACUAGUUCUCAAAACAGUCCCCCACCCCCCGCCUUUUUACUUGCUUUUAAAAGACAGAGUCUGGCUCUGUCACCCAGGCUGGAGUGCAGUGGCACGAUCAUGGCUCACUGCAGCCUCAAACUCCUGGGCUCAAGCAGUCCUCCCAACUCGGCCUCCUGAGUAUAGUAGCUGGGACUGCAGGCAUGUGCCACCACACCCUGCUAAUUUAUGUAUUUUUGGUAGAGACAGGGUCUUGCUAUGUUGCCCAGGCUGGUCUUGAACUCCUGUCCUCAAGCAAUCCUCCAACCUUGGCCACCUCCCAAAAGGCUGGGACUACAGACUUGAGCCACUGAGCCUGGCCGCUCCCUUCCCUGCCCUUUUGUGAAUUUAGAGAAUAGAAACAUUUUGUUUUCACCUCCCCCACAUUCCUGGCUUUCCCUUUUCUGACCAGCCAAGCACUGAUCAUCUGUACCCACACUCCAGAAUUGUCCAGAAGUCAGUUUGCCCAGGCCUGGUCAUUCCAUCCUUCAAAAACUCUUUCAUGGAGACUGCAGCUCUAGAAAGCAGACCUGUGCCCUUCCUUUCUGGUGCUUGGCACACCCUCCUCAUCCCCUGUUUGAAUGGAUGAAUGAGUGAGUGAAUGAAUGAAUGAAUGGCUGUAAGGAGGUUACAUGGUAGAUUUGGCAGAACUAGUAUAAGCCAUAUCCUCCCUUCCUUUUCUGACCCCUGUAAAAUCCAGCCUCAGCAUUCCCCACUGAACCCCCCAACCUCUGCCCCCCCACACACAUAAGAAUGUGGACUGCCCACAGCUCACCAGUUCCUCUGGAACCAGUUUGAACCCCCUGUGACCCAGCAGGGCCCCCACUCCCCCUUGAGUGUUAAGAUUUUUGGAUUAGUUGGCUUGAACUGUUCUAGAAAACAACAGAGUACCUUUGAGAAAAACAAAAUGCAUUAAUUUGGGCCCUAGGUCAGAAAAACAAAUUUAUAUUUGGCUUUGAUCUGGGUUGAUUUUAGCCUUUGGCUAUCGAUCAGGAGAGUGAGAGGGUAGCAAGGGUUGUCUUUGCCCUAAAGUAAGAGACAUGGGUUUAAACCCUGCUCUGGCCAGAAUCAUGUAGGGAACUGGACCAGGCCUUCCUAUUUCUGUUCAUUUCAGCACACAUUUAAUGAGUACUUACUGUGUGUUAAGUAUGGUGUUGUACAGAUAGACUGCCCCAGCCCUCAAGGAGCUCAGUCUAGAGGGUAGAGAGAUAAGUGAGUAAAGGCUUACAGUUUAGAGGGAUCAGGGCUGUUAGGGAGGGGAGUGAGCAGGGGGGCUGUGUGAGCCCAGGAGAGGCACCAGAUUCAACUUAGAUUGAGAGGUGACAUCAGAAAGAUAUUAUGGGCCAACUCUGGGCACACUGCCUAUGAAUUCACCCUGCUUUGCAAGGAAUAGUAUGGUUAAUAAAAUUCUUUAAAAAAGAAAAAGAUGUUAUGGAAGUAUGUUACAUUAUUUGUAUGGCCCAGUGUAAAACGAAAGUGCAAGGCUUCUUAUUCAGAUUUCAAGAUGUCAGCAGCAGAGGAUUAAACUAAGCACAGGGCCCUACUGAGCACAGGGCUCUGUGUGACCUCACAGCUCUCAUCCCAUGAAGCCAGCCCUGCU